rnacentral:rRNA from 1 species
UACGUAGGGACCGAGCGUUGUCCGGAAUCAUUGGGCGUAAAGAGCGUGUAGGCGGUCGAUCAAGUCGCGUGUGAAAGCCCCCGGCUCAACUGGGGAGGGUCACGCGAUACUGAUCGACUCGAAGGCAGGAGAGGGUAGUGGAAUUCCUGGUGUAGCGGUGAAAUGCGUAGAUAUCAGGAGGAACACCGAUGGCGAAGGCAGCUGCCUGGCCCUGAACCACAUGACGCUGGAGGUGCGAAAGACGUGGGGGAGCGAACGGG